rnacentral:rRNA from 1 species
AGAGUUUGAUCCUGGCUCAGGACGAACGCUGGCGGCGUGCUUAACACAUGCAAGUCGAACGAUGAAGUUAUGACGGAGGCUUCGGCCGACAGAAUAACGGAAUAGUGGCGGACGGGUGAGUAACGCGUGAGUAACCUGCCUUUCAGAGAGGAAUAACAUUUGGAAACGAAUGGUAAUACCACAUAACAUUACGUUCUCGCAUGGGGAUGUAAUCAAAGAUUUAUCGCUGAGAGAUGGACUCGCGUCCGAUUAGCUAGAUGGUGAGGUAACGGCCCACCAUGGCGACGAUCGGUAGCCGGACUGAGAGGUUGAACGGCCACAUUGGGACUGAGACACGGCCCAGACUCCUACGGGAGGCAGCAGUGGGGAAUAUUGCACAAUGGGGGAAACCCUGAUGCAGCAACGCCGCGUGAGGGAAGACGGUCUUCGGAUUGUAAACCUUUGUCUUUGGUGAAGAAGAAAGUGACGGUAGCCAAGGAGGAAGCCACGGCUAACUACGUGCCAGCAGCCGCGGUAAUACGUAGGUGGCAAGCGUUGUCCGGAAUUACUGGGUGUAAAGGGAGCGCAGGCGGGACAGCAAGUUGGAUGUGAAAUACCGAGGCUUAACCACGGAGCUGCAUCCCAAACUGUUGUUCUUGAGUGAAGUAGAGGUAGGGCGGAAUUCCGAGUGUAGCGGUGAAAUGCCUAAAAUAUUCGGAGGAACACCAGUGGCGAAGGGCGGCCUACUGGGGUUUUAACUGGAGGCUGAGGGGUCCAAAGGGGGGGGGAGCAAAACAGGAAUUAAAAACC